rnacentral:tRNA from 7 species
GUUUCAAUGACUUGGUAGAGCACAAGGCUCUUAACUUUGUUGUCGUGGGUUCGAGCCCCAUGGUGGGCG